GACGAACGCUGGCGGCGUGCCUAAUACAUGCAGGUAGAACGCUGAAGGAGGAGCUUGCUCUUCUGGAUGAGUUGCGAACGGGUGAGUAACGCGUAGGUAACCUGCCUGGUAGCGGGGGAUAACUAUUGGAAACGAUAGCUAAUACCGCAUAAGAGUAGAUAUCGCAUGAUAGCUGCUUGAAAGGUGCAAUUGCACCACUACCAGAUGGACCUGCGUUGUAUUAGCUAGUUGGUGAGGUAACGGCUCACCAAGGCAACGAUACGUAGCCGACCUGAGAGGGUGAUCGGCCACACUGGGACUGAGACACGGCCCAGACUCCUACGGGAGGCAGCAGUAGGGAAUCUUCGGCAAUGGACGAAAGUCUGACCGAGCAACGCCGCGUGAGUGAAGAAGGUUUUCGGAUCGUAAAGCUCUGUUGUAAGAGAAGAACGAGUGUGAGAGUGGAAAGUUCACACUGCGACGGUAUCUACCAGAAA
rnacentral:rRNA from 1 species